UCCCACGUAGUCUAGGCGGUUAGGAUACCAGGUUCUCAUCACCUCUCGAAAAAUGAGCAUGAUAACCCUGGCGACCAGGGUUCGAGUCCCUGCGUGGGAA
rnacentral:tRNA from 1 species